UGUUUUAAAAACAAAACAAAAUAUAUCGUUUCGCUUAACAUUAAAAUAUUAAACACGAAGGCGCGGUAUAAAAGGGUGCUUCCAUUGGAAGCAUCGGCUCAUUUGUCAAUCAACCGCCGUGGAGUUAGGAUCAAAUUCAAGAUGGCGCCCCGAGUCAAGUACAAAACACAGAGGGGAGAGGUUUCAAAGCGCUUCCUGAUGUAUAAAAAUGCCAACUCUACCUUCUAGUCCGAUAGAAUGUGUAAAAAAGGAAAUUCAGUGGAAGUAAAGCUACGAAACCAACGUGAUUUAUGCAAAAAAGGAGCAAACGCAUGAUCGGAAAACAACGAUUUCAAACCUCGACAAAAGCUAUACCCAAGAAGCGAGUCAUGGUGACAUCUGAACAAUCAACAAGAUAUAUUCCUCAAGAAAAAGCAGAUACAUAGACAUAUACAGUAACUUAUUACAUUUUCCAUGUGAUUUUUAAUGAUAAACAUUCCUGUGUAAAGGAAACAUGUUUUGUUGCUAUAAGAUUGAUGUGUUAGUGAAGUGUAUAAAGCAACCAGUCAUACUUUAUAAACUGCAUUAUAGAUUAUACUUUUGAAUAAACCAAAAUGCUUUCUCUUUUA